rnacentral:rRNA from 1 species
GAUGAACGCUGGCGGCGUGCCUAAUACAUGCAAGUCGAGCGAACAGACGAGGAGCUUGCUCCUCUGACGUUAGCGGCGGACGGGUGAGUAACACGUGGAUAACCUACCUAUAAGACUGGGAUAACUUCGGGAAACCGGAGCUAAUACCGGAUAAUAUAUUGAACCGCAUGGUUCAAUAGUGAAAGACGGUUUUGCUGUCACUUAUAGAUGGAUCCGCGCCGCAUUAGCUAGUUGGUAAGGUAACGGCUUACCAAGGCAACGAUGCGUAGCCGACCUGAGAGGGUGGUCGGCCACACUGGAACUGAGACACGGUCCAGACUCCUACGGGAGGCAGCAGUAGGGAAUCUUCCGCAAUGGGCGAAAGCUUGACGGAGCAACGCCGCGUGAGUGAUGAAGGUCUUCGGAUCGUAAAACUCUGUUAUUAGGGAAGAACAAAUGUGUAAGUAACUGUGCACGUCUUGACGGUACCUGAUCAGAAAGCCACGGCUAACUACGUG